UACGUAGGGUGCAAGCGUUAAUCGGAAUUACUGGGCGUAAAGCGUGCGCAGGCGGUUAUGCAAGACAGAUGUGAAAUCCCCGGGCUUAACCUGGGAACCGCAUUUGUGACUGCAUAGCUGGAGUACGGCAGAGGGGGAUGGAAUUCCGCGUGUAGCAGUGAAAUGCGUAGAGAUGCGGAGGAACACCGAUGGCGAAGGCAGCCCCCUGGGCUAGCACUGACGCCUCGAGGCACGAAAGCGUGGGAGCAAACAGG
rnacentral:rRNA from 1 species